AUGAACGCUGGCGGCGUGCCUAAUCCAUGCAGGUCGAGCGCACGGACGAGAAGCUUGCUUCUCUGAUGUUAGCGGCGGACGGGUGAGUAACACGUGGAUAACCUACCUAUAAGACUGGGAUAACUUCGGGAAACCGGAGCUAAUACCGGAUAAUAUUUUGAACCGCAUGGUUCAAAAGUGAAAGACGGUCUUGCUGUCACUUAUAGAUGGAUCCGCGCUGCAUUAGCUAGUUGGUAAGGUAACGGCUUACCAAGGCAACGAUGCAUAGCCGACCUGAGAGGGUGAUCGGCCACACUGGAACUGAGACACGGUCCAGACUCCUACGGGAGGCAGCAGUAGGGAAUCUUCCGCAAUGGGCGAAAGCCUGACGGAGCAACGCCGCGUGAGUGAUGAAGGUCUUCGGAUCGUAAAACUCUGUUAUUAGGGAAGAACAUAUGUGUAAGUAACUGUGCACAUCUUGACGGUACCUAAUCAGAAAGCCACGGCUAACUACGUG
rnacentral:rRNA from 1 species